rnacentral:lncRNA from 1 species
UUAUCCCAUUUGUGCCACUUUAAAGGUUUUAAUAAGAAAUUUCUUUCCUUAAUUAAAUUUUACCCGUUGUAAUCAGAAUCCCUUAACCAAAACGAGACUGAUUUCAAUGAUAUUUCUUUGCCAUUCUUACUUACUUCUCUACAUUAUAAAAGGGGUUGCCCUUUUGCACUUUUAAGACACCUCAGAAGUUAACGUUACACCUUACGAUUUCAUCUUCAUCACCUUCGCACUACUAGUUCUUAACUUCCAACUCAGUACUUGUACACUUGCAAUCCUAUUUUGAAUUCAACACUCUACUUUGCAUGAGGUCUUUUGGAAUAAAUUUGUUUGCAACUUGGCUCUCUUCAAAACUACUAUUUUACUUGUUUUCCCUUGAAACUGGCAUGCUUUUUAUUUGGUUUUCUGCCUAACCCCUAUGUGUUUACAUUAGAGUUCCAACAUUCUUGUUUACUCUACUGCUCAUGUUCAAUGAUUUAUGUUAAUUAUGUUCUUUCCUUGCAUCUGUUUCUAUUGCGAAUCCCUACCCUUAUUCCCUUCUAUGUGUUUGAGUUAAGGUUCUUGGCCUUGCAGUAUCCAAAUUACUGCCCAGGCCAUAACCUGAUCCACAAUGGAUCCUAACUCCUAUGUUGGCAAACAGGCUGGUCAGGGGUGUGCCAGUAUUCCCAAUUGCUGGGCAUGACCACCAACAUGCCAUGGCUCUCCCCGAUUCCCCCCUGUGCACUUACACUUACUCUUAGAUUCUAUGUUCUGC